rnacentral:rRNA from 1 species
GACGGAGGAUGCAAGUGUUAUCCGGAAUCACUGGGCGUAAAGCGUCUGUAGGUGGUCAAAUAAGUCAACUGUUAAAUCUUGAGGCUCAACCUCAAAAUCGCAGUCGAAACUAUUAGACUAGAGUAUAGUAGGGGUAAAGGGAAUUUCCAGUGGAGCGGUGAAAUGCGUAGAUAUUGGAAAGAACACCGAUGGCGAAGGCACUUUACUGGGCUAUUACUAACACUCAGAGGCGAAAGCUAGGGUAGCAAAUGGG